AGCGAACGCUGGCGGCAGGCUUAACACAUGCAAGUCGAACGGUCCUUCGGGAUAGUGGCGGACGGGUGAGUAACACGUGGGAACGUACCCUUAGGUUCGGAACAACACAGGGAAACUUGUGCUAAUACCGGAUAAGCCCUUCGGGGGAAAGAUUUAUCGCCUUUGGAGCGACCCGCGUCUGAUUAGCUUGUUGGUGAGGUAAUGGCUCACCAGGGCUACGAUCAGUAGCUGGUCUGAGAGGAUGGCCAGCCACACUGGGACUGAGACACGACCCAGACUCCUACGGGAGGCAGCAGUGGGGAAUCUUGCGCAAUGGGCGAAAGCCUGACGCAGCCAUGCCGCGUGGAUGAUGAAGGUCUUAGGAUUGUAAAAUCCUUUCACCGGGGACGAUAAUGACGGUACCCGGAGAAGAAGCCCCGGCUAACUUCGUGCCAGCAGCCGCCGUAA
rnacentral:rRNA from 1 species